GGGGUGCCCGGCUGGCGGGGGGGGCCCGCCGCGGGGAGGUGGCCCCGCAACCCGGGCGGAGGACGGCCGUGACCCCGGGGGGACGGCAGCGCUGCUGGGCGGCCGGCGCUGGGACAGGAGGAGUAGAGCUGCUCCUCGCAGGCUGACCGCGGCGGGUACAUCGCGUCAUGGUGGAAAGUGCCCUCUCGCCUCUGGCUGCCGUAAUAUUCCGGCGAGUGACUGGGAAGCUACAGAAGAACUAAUUGUCCCAUGUCUGAUGUAUGCCAUUAAAGUGAGAGAAACGAUGAAAAAUGCAAAGGAAAAUCCCCGCCUACCUGCACGAGUUUCCCUUUGUGUAUGGAAUGGACCCAAAUUUACGUAGAUCUGCUUUAUUGCUGGAAUUCCCGAUCCUUCUGAAGUGAGAACACAGCGGGGGUUUCCCUGCCGAGGGACUUAUUGCAGCCAUAAAGUCAAGCCAACACCACGAAAACACUUGAAAAACCCCCUUGUUCCUGGAGUCAGACAUAGAAAGCUAUUGGCAGCAGAGAAACCUCUCUUGUAAUGCUCAUGUACACCCAAUAUCACAUCGGAAAAAAGCCCCGACAGAGCCGUGCAGAGCUCCAGGGCUGGAGUAGCUAAAACAAUGACCCUGAAGGUGUAAAAAAAAUAUGAAAUACCCGCUUUCCCCGUGCAUAACCGCCUGAAAUUUAAUUUCCAGCAAUUUAAGUUUAAUUUACCUGACUUCCCGUGCAGUGCAUAAUAACCUGGUUAAUGGCAUCUUUGAAAAGAAGCAAUAAUAAUCUGCCAUUGUUCCAUUAAAGAGUGCAGCUAAUUAUUAACAACAACAAAUAAAAAAGGGGGGGGGGGUCGGGAGUGCAGAGGAGGAGAGGGGCAUUGGGGGAGUCAAACUGCAUCCAACCCAAGUAUUUCCGCGACAGCAAGUUCUGGGAAGAGGAAAGUAGAGGUAGAACAUUAGGAAAGCAGGGAAAAGGAGAGGAAAAAGAGAGAUGGAGCAUGUAAUGUGGAAAGCGAAUGCCGGGUGGUGCUGGGAGCUGCAGCAUGGAACAAGUUAAUCGUGGCUGUUGCUGGAGAGGAUGCCAGGAGGGGACCCGACCUGGAGCAGUGCGGACACUCCCGAUCCCUCCACCCCGAGGCGGGGUACAGACAUUUCUCGUUCAUCCCGGGCUGAAAUGGUUAAAAAAGACCUACCCGCAGUGAGAUGCGGGAUUUCCACAAGUGGUUGCCCACGCAGGAUGGGGAAAAAUAGGCAUAAAAGCGUUUUGGAGCAAGCUUCCUAAAUUAAAUUAAUUUUUAAUAUAUGUUUUUCUUACGAAUAGCAAAAGAAUAAAAAACAAAACGAACGCGAGGAGACUUAGGGAAAGAGAGAACAGGCGCUUGAACUGGUAUUCAGUUUUUUCUCCGUGAUUUAUGAAAAAUGUAACAGGUUCGGGAAGAAAUAGCUUUUUAAAAUGACUUUCUGUUUAUUAUUUCCGCGGCUUGCGAUCAUUUACUCUUGUCCACACAAUAUUCAGGCACAGACAGUUUAAGGCGAGAUAAAUCGUCACGUCAUAAAAUGGUUUAUGCUUAAGUAAUGAAUCUCUCCUUACUCAAUCUUGCUUCACUUACACAGGCUCCUACAUUAUCUUAUUUAAAAAUCACCUCGUAACAGUAGCAAUUAGUACAAUAUUUCAAUCCCUCCAUGAAAUCUUGGAAAUCAGAAAGAUUAAAACCCCCAUAUUUAAAAUCACGGGUAUCUCCAGACAACCCUUUUCCUAAACCCGAAGGCAAGCGUCAGGGUAUCACAGAGUGAUGGGAAACUUGCACAUAACCGGGUAUGUAAAAGCACCGCCAAGCCGUUGGGCUCAGACCCGAGCCGGUAUUCCGGCCGGGAAAGCCGUAAAACCCCAUUAACACCGCGGAACGCAAUUAAAUACACGGAGGUUUAUUGCAUCGCAACGUCAGCUUCAUUUGGGAGUUUCACAAGGGGGGGGUGGUGGAAAUACAAUGAGAGCGCUGCGCUCGGGGUUGGCUUCAUUCUUAUUAUCUUUUUUUUCUCCCCCCCCCCCCUUUUUUUGUCCCCCGCCUUUUUCUUUUUUUCUUUCUUUUUUCUUUUUUUAACUGAUUUCCAGACCCUUAUUUCCGAGGACGCCGCGAACUGCCCUCUCCGAAGAAACCACCCACAUAAUAAUGACCCUGGAGAGCAACGCAAAACCCAACUGGCUUCCACACAAACUUCGCCAAAUGACUGGGCUCGCCUGAGGAACAGGCGAACUGGCAAGAGCUUCUGCGAGGGGAGAAAAAAUAAACCACCACAACUGCCCACAAAGGGUUUGCUAUUUUUUUAAAGGCAGUAUCCAAAAGCCUCCAUCACCGAGCUACUGCAAAAUCCUUCAUUCCAAGUCUGCUAUCUUCAGAGACUUGAACAACGAAGAAAUCCAGGUAAAAAUAUACACAGAGAAAAGAGCAUAGCGAGGAGAAAAGAACCGCGGAGGUUGCAGGGAGAAGGAGUAACCAUCAUUCCUAUUAUGUACAGGACUCUAUAUGCUAAGUAGAAUUUGCAUUCAGACUUUUCAGGUCACAUUUUCUAAAUUAAAGGUGCUAAACACGA